AAAUUGAAGAGUUUGAUCAUGGCUCAGAUUGAACGCUGGCGGCAGGCCUAACACAUGCAAGUCGAACGGUAACAGGAAGCAGCUUGCUGCUUUGCUGACGAGUGGCGGACGGGUGAGUAAUGUCUGGGAAACUGCCCGAUGGAGGGGGAUAACUACUGGAAACGGUAGCUAAUACCGCAUAACGUCGCAAGACCAAAGAGGGGGACCUUCGGGCCUCUUGCCAUCGGAUGUGCCCAGAUGGGAUUAGCUAGUAGGUGGGGUAACGGCUCACCUAGGCGACGAUCCCUAGCUGGUCUGAGAGGAUGACCAGCCACACUGGAACUGAGACACGGUCCAGACUCCUACGGGAGGCAGCAGUGGGGAAUAUUGCACAAUGGGCGCAAGCCUGAUGCAGCCAUGCCGCGUGUAUGAAGAAGGCCUUCGGGUUGUAAAGUACUUUCAGCGGGGAGGAAGGGGGUAAAGUUAAUACCUUUGCUCAUUGACGUUACCCGCAGAAGAAGCACCGGCUAACUCCGUGCCAGCAGCCGCGGUAAUACGGAGGGUGCAAGCGUUAAUCGGAAUUACUGGGCGUAAAGCGCACGCAGGCGGUCUGUUAAGUCAGAUGUGAAAUCCCCGGGCUCAACCUGGGAACUGCAUCUGAUACUGGCAGGCUUGAGUCUCGUAGAGGGGGGUAGAAUUCCAGGUGUAGCGGUGAAAUGCGUAGAGAUCUGGAGGAAUACCGGUGGCGAAGGCGGCCCCCUGGACGAAGACUGACGCUCAGGUGCGAAAGCGUGGGGAGCAAACAGGAUUAGAUACCCUGGUAGUCCACGCCGUAAACGAUGUCGACUUGGAGGUUGUGCCCUUGAGGCGUGGCUUCCGGAGCUAACGCGUUAAGUCGACCGCCUGGGGAGUACGGCCGCAAGGUUAAAACUCAAAUGAAUUGACGGGGGCCCGCACAAGCGGUGGAGCAUGUGGUUUAAUUCGAUGCAACGCGAAGAACCUUACCUGGUCUUGACAUCCACGGAAGUUUUCAGAGAUGAGAAUGUGCCUUCGGGAACCGUGAGACAGGUGCUGCAUGGCUGUCGUCAGCUCGUGUUGUGAAAUGUUGGGUUAAGUCCCGCAACGAGCGCAACCCUUAUCCUUUGUUGCCAGCGGUCCGGCCGGGAACUCAAAGGAGACUGCCAGUGAUAAACUGGAGGAAGGUGGGGAUGACGUCAAGUCAUCAUGGCCCUUACGACCAGGGCUACACACGUGCUACAAUGGCGCAUACAAAGAGAAGCGACCUCGCGAGAGCAAGCGGACCUCAUAAAGUGCGUCGUAGUCCGGAUUGGAGUCUGCAACUCGACUCCAUGAAGUCGGAAUCGCUAGUAAUCGUGGAUCAGAAUGCCACGGUGAAUACGUUCCCGGGCCUUGUACACACCGCCCGUCACACCAUGGGAGUGGGUUGCAAAAGAAGUAGGUAGCUUAACCUUCGGGAGGGCGCUUACCACUUUGUGAUUCAUGACUGGGGUGAAGUCGUAACAAGGUAACCGUAGGGGAACCUGCGGUUGGAUCACCUCCUUA
rnacentral:rRNA from 1 species